GAGUUAGCCGAGGCUGAUUCCUCAAGUACCGUCAUUGUGUUCUUCCUUGAGAAGAGGGGUUUACAACCCAAGAGCCUUCCUCCCCCACGCGGUCUUGCUCCGUCAGGCUUGCGCCCAUUGCGGAAAAUUCCCC
rnacentral:rRNA from 1 species